AUGAUUCUGCGGGGUCUUCUACUCUGCCUGGUGACAGCCCCCCUGGGUGCUGUGUCUGCUCUGACCCUGCAGGAGUCGGGCCCAGGACUGGUGGCCCCCUCCCAGACCCUCUCCCUCACCUGCUCUGUCUCUGGGGGCUCUGUCACCAGCAGUUACUGGUGGAGUUGGAUCCGCCAGCGCCCUGGGAAAGGGUUGGAAUGGAUGGGGCGCUGGUAUGGUAGUACCGACUACAACCCAGCAUUCCAAGGGCGCAUCUCUAUCACGGCUGACACCUCCAAGAACCAGUUCUCCCUGCAGCUGAGCUCAGUGACCCUCGAAGACACAGCCAUGUAUUACUGUGCGAGAGACACAGUGAGGGGAAGUCAGGGCGAGGCCAGACACAAACCUCCCUGCUGGGAGAGUGUGGACUGA